GAUGAAUGCUGGCGGCGUGCCUAAUACAUGCAAGUCGAGCGGUAAGGCCCUUCGGGGUACACGAGCGGCGGACGGCUGAGUAACGCGUGGGAACAUGCCCCAAAGUGAGGGAUAACCUCGAGAAAUCGAGGCUAAUACCGCAUAUGGUCUUCGGAUUAAAGGAUUUAUCCGCUUUGGGAAUGGCCUGCGUACGAUUAGAUAGUUGGUAGGGUAAUGGCCUACCAAGUCUACGAUCGUUAACUGGUCUGAGAGGAUGAUCAGUCAGACUGGAACUGAGACACGGUCCAGACUCCUACGGGUGGCAG
rnacentral:rRNA from 1 species